rnacentral:tRNA from 1 species
GCCUGGUGGCUCAGUCAGUUAAGCAUCUGACUUCAGCUCAGAUCAUGGUCUCAUGGUUCAUGAGUUCGAGCCCCAUGUCAGGCU